rnacentral:rRNA from 1 species
UACGUAGUGUGCGAGCGUUAAUCGGAAUUACUGGGCGUAAAGCGUGCGCAGGCGGUUCGUUGUGUCGGCGGUGAAAGCCCCGGGCUUAACCUGGGAAUGGCCGUCGAAACUGGCGAACUGGAGUGUGGCAGAGGGGGGUGGAAUUCCGGGUGGAGCGGUGAAAUGCGUAGAGAUCCGGAGGAACACCGACGGCGAAGGCAGCGCCCUGGACGACACCUGACGCUCAGGCACGAAAGCUGGGGGAGCAAACAGG